rnacentral:rRNA from 1 species
AAUCAACGCUGGCGGCGUGCCUCAGACAUGCAAGUCGAACGCGAAAUUUCCCUUCGGGGAGAAAGUAGAGUGGCGCACGGGUGAGUAACACGUAGGUAAUCUACCUUCGGAUGGGGAAUAACAGUCGGAAACGGCUGCUAAUACCGCAUAAUGCAGCGGCACCUAAUGGUGACAGUUGUUAAAGCGGGGGAUCGAAAGACCUCGCGUCUGAAGAGGAGCCUGCGGCGGAUUAGCUAGUUGGUAAGGUAAUGGCUUACCAAGGCUACGAUCCGUAACCGGCCUGAGAGGGCGGUCGGUCACACUGACACUGACAUACGGGUCAGACUCCUACGGGAGGCAGCAGUCGGGAAUUUU